CCUACGGGUGGCAGCAGUGGGGAAUAUUGGACAAUGGGCGAAAGCCUGAUCCAGCCAUGCCGCGUGUGUGAAGAAGGCCUUCGGGUUGUAAGGCACUUUCAGUGGGGAAGAAAGCCUUGGGGCUAAUACCCUCGAGGAAGGACAUCACCCACAGAAGAAGCACCGGCUAACUCCGUGCCAGCAGCCGCGGUAAUACGGAGGGUGCGAGCGUUAAUCGGAAUUACUGGGCGUAAAGCGCGCGUAGGCGGUCUGAUAAGCCGGUUGUGAAAGCCCCGGGCUCAACCUGGGAACGGCAUCCGGAACUGUCAGGCUAGAGUGCAGGAGAGGAAGGUAGAAUUCCCGGUGUAGCAGUGAAAUGCGUAGAGAUCGGGAGGAAUACCAGUGGCGAAGGCGGCCUUCUGGACUGACACUGACGCUGAGGUGCGAAAGCGUGGGUAGCAAACAGGAUUAGAUACCCGAGUAGUC
rnacentral:rRNA from 1 species